ACCGUUCAUGAAUUGGAUUUUUUCUUAUCCUUUCUGGAUUCUUCUAAUUACAUAGAGGUUUGAGGAUGCGUCAAAUUACAUAAAGAUCUGAUUUUUAUAUGAAGAAAAAGAAGGCACGAAAGUAAGUUCUCUUCUUCUUACGUAAAUGUCCUGGCAUGCACGCGGUAGCAUAGAGAAGGCUCUCGGUUGGAUAACAGUACACCGCCUUAAUCCUCUUUCAACACCC